ensembl:lncRNA
UGUUGUUUUUCAUUUCUAUUGUUUUUGGUGUUUAGAUGUUGCAGAGCGAAGGGAUGUAUUUCGUCAGUAAGGGUAUGUAAUGGGAUGCAUUUGGUCUAUGAUUACCUUGAUGCUGGUUCCAUCCACUGAAGACCCAGAAUGUGCUGUUUCUGGUGUCUGUAGCUUUAAUGCAAAUGAGCUGCUGCCCAUUGACCAAUGAGCUGUCAGACUGAACCACAGCAUGGAGAAGGGAUUGUUGCCGUUUGCGGACUCCUGGAGCUCUAUAUAAUAUAAUCUAAUAAUAAUAAUAAUAAUAAUAUUAUGUAUGGGUAUUUAUAUAAUAUUAUGUCUAAUAUCACGGCCAAAAGCUAUGUGCGCCUCGGAAGAUAUUAUGAAUCAUAAAGACUGCGUCUGACGUCUCUGGUACUUCCACAACAAGUAAAGACUCGUAGUGGGGGAAAUCUCGGCCAUGGUUGAGAAGAAUUGGGGGGAAGGAACUUUGGCCUUGACUCUCUGAAGUCCAUUAACUGCGACAUGGAGGAGAAAGGGAUUGUACUCCGGGAGGUGAGCUACCGGACUGCCUCCGAGCUCCCCGCGCCGGAGCUGCCGGACUGCAGCAGACUUCCCCCCGCCGGUCAUGCCAGCUUCGGCGGCAGUUCAGCUCUGGGAGUACACCCGCCGGAGGAGCCGGAGAGCUUUGGCGGCAGUUCAGCUCCCGGAGUACACCGCCGGCAGUCCGGCAGCUCAGAGCUGCUGGGCUGCCGCAGAGUUCCCCCCGCCGGAGCUGCUGGUCCACUGGUCCACAAAAUCAUAGCUAUGCUCUGAUUGGAGGGAGGGGGGCAGUGGGAGGUAAUAUUCAAUGUGCCCCCUUCCUACGUAGGAGGGGGCGCCGAAACUGACUCGCUCGUUUGGUAACUGUAGGGUACUUGCAGAAAUGCAUUUCUCACUCAAAAAAUCAUGUACUUUUUUCAAAGUUUGUGAGACCCAAAACAACACCCCAAGUCCCAGGAAAAGUGUUGUUUUCAUAAUAUGUCCCCUUUAAAACAUGAAAUGCAGAGAGCAGUAGGCCUACCGCUGAGGUUGGUGGUUGUAGGAGGGUCCUACUCUGAUUAUGUUAUCUCAUUCAAGCAAAUUCCUCUAAUCCCCUAGUAUUCAAUACAUUUGUUCACACAUUGCCACACUGCCACAUGCUACCAGUCGGUUGCCCCCUAACUGUUGAUGGAUAAACUCACGUGUUUUUUCCUACAAUGAGGCCCAUGAUCAUGUGAUCAGUUGAGACUCAACUUGUUGACACCUGAUUAGACCUACCAGGGGUCAAUUGUGUAGAUGCUCUCUCUUUCUUUCUCUCUCUCUGCCUUCCUAUAAUAUACCAUCGAGCAGAAUGAGCAGUGAUGAUGUGUGCCUCAAAACGCGAGCUCUGCGCACGAAUCCCUGAAGGAACCCUAGUGCUUGCUGACGUUGGUGACUUCCAGUGCUGGAUGCUGACCGUGCGCUCGCGCCUCAACGUUCUCGCGCGUUCGCCUCCCCUCGCGCCCUUUCUUUCUACCCACGCCUAAUGCGCUCUUUUGGGAAGAUUACAAAUCUUGAAUUCUAAACGACAGGGAAAAAUGACAACCACAUUUCCGAUUGAAAAAUGAGGAGUUUUCAUGGAUUUCGUGGAUGUUAUCUGUUGCUAAUGAGAAGAGGAUUAGGGAACGGAGCGCUAUCCGUGCGCAGCACAUCGGGAAACGGCUUUCGCGUAUGACUCGAGGGAUGCAGUCAAGUUGGGAGAAGAGACGCGAUAUCGAUUAAAUAAAGAAUAUAUUUUUUUCAUAUUCUACUUGAAUAAUAGCAUUCAUCUAAUUUUUUGGGGUGGUGCAUUUUCCCAUAUUCAUAUUUUUUUUUCAAAAGGAGCACCUCGCCUCGGAUCAUUCCUCCGUCUGCAGACAUGUUUAACGACGAAUAACUUUCAAACGAUAUCAUUCUAUUAUCAACUGCGUUUUUCGUGUUUACCUUGAGGAAGGUCUAUAUUUUCAUAGUGAGCUAUGUUGCAUUUUUCGAUGAUAUGGAUUUAGACCAUUUGCGUUGUCCCCGGGGCACGUAACCCGGUUGCAUAAAUGAUCGCGUGCCGUUAGAUCUCUUGUUUCAACGCGCGUAUUUUAUCUCAACGCGCACGAAGAGACCGCUCAGGCAGAGUUGACACUCUCUCUCUCUCUCUCUCUCUCUCUCUCUCUCUCUCUCUCUCUCUCUCUCUCUCUCUCUCUCUCUCUCUCUC